rnacentral:sRNA from 1 species
AAACACGCAGGGAGGGCACCCCGAGUGUCGCCGCUGAGGGCGUUUCUCUAAGCGCUUCUCUGAGCCCUGCUGCUGAAGGCCCCACCCGACCCCUGGCGGGGGCUGGGCUGCGGGCCUUGGGGCGGUGUCCCCCGUGAAUGUUCAGGAACAGAAAUGAAAAAAAGUCGCUGGCAGAGUAGAAGAAGACAUGGGAGAAGAAGCCACCAGCAGAACCCUUGGUUCAGACUCCGUGAUUCUGAAGACAGGUCUGACUCCCGGGCAGCACAGCCCGCUCACGAUUCCAGCCACGGUGAUGACGAGUCUCCGUCAACCUCGUCUGGCACAGCUGGGACCUCCUCUGUGCCAGAGCUACCUGGGUUUUACUUUGACCCUGAAAAGAAACGCUACUUCCGCUUGCUCCCUGGACAUAACAACUGCAACCCCCUGACGAAAGAGAGCAUCCGGCAGAAGGAGAUGGAGAGCAAGAGACUGCGGCUGCUCCAGGAAGAAGACAGACGGAAAAAGAUUGCCAGGAUGGGAUUUAAUGCAUCUUCCAUGCUACGAA